AGAGUUUGAUCAUGGCUCAGAACGAACGCUGGCGGCAUGCCUAACACAUGCAAGUCGAACGAGACCUUCGGGUCUAGUGGCGCACGGGUGCGUAACGCGUGGGAAUCUGCCCUUGGGUUCGGAAUAACAGUUAGAAAUGACUGCUAAUACCGGAUAAUGUCUUCGGACCAAAGAUUUAUCGCCCAGGGAUGAGCCCGCGUAGGAUUAGCUAGUUGGUGAGGUAAAGGCUCACCAAGGCGACGAUCCUUAGCUGGUCUGAGAGGAUGAUCAGCCACACUGGGACUGAGACACGGCCCAGACUCCUACGGGAGGCAGCAGUGGGAAUAUUGGACAAUGGGCGAAAGCCUGAUCCAGCAAUGCCGCGUGAGUGAUGAAGGCCUUAGGGUUGUAAAGCUCUUUACCCGGGAUGAUAAUGACAGUACCGGGAGAAUAAGCUCCGGCUAACUCCGUG
rnacentral:rRNA from 1 species